rnacentral:snoRNA from 1 species
AGCACUGCAUGGUAUCUGCAGCCAGCCGCUACUCCGGUUGGACUGUUCAUUAGUCAGUGCAAAAGCAACUUGGCAUAUGGCAUCGUUGGUUUCCAGGCUUCUUUGUGCCUGGAGUCCUGGUAUAUCUGUCGAGACAAAC